GGAUCGCCCAGGAAACACACACCUGAGAUUAAUCUUCACGCGCGAAGGGGCAGCGGGCAGGAGCACCUAGUUCCUCCAGCCAGGGCGGAGUCAGCCUCCCCCCCGAGGAUCUGAGGCUCGGCCCUGUGCUCUCAGCGAGGCGCGCGGGGAUGUCACUCGGGUCAGGCUGGGCGAGUGUAACCCGACGCGCCCUGCACGGCCGGCCCCCGCCUCCCGGGCGACUUCCUCCUCCCCCUCCAGCGCCGCCUCCCUCCCGUCGGGCUGACCCUGGCGGCCGGGCCGCCGCAUCCAGGCGGGUACCUAGGGCCCAGGCUCCUCCAGCCCAGCGGGGAAACACGGAAGUGAGCUGUGAACCGGGUCGGGGUUGGGGGGGGGGGGGGCGAGCGAGUGAGGUCUCUUCUGCCCAAUGAAUAUGACUACACGGGGACACGGGGACACCGGUCCCGUUGGCUAGGACCGCGCCGCAGCGGACGUAAUAGCCUUAGCCCCAAGCUGCGGUUCCUGUUUUGCGCCUUGGCCAUGCCGAACUCCAGCCUCACCGCCCCGCCUUGCCAGCUGGCUGGCAGACGGGAAAGCCAGGGCUGAGCUAGGCCGGGGAAGCCGGUGGAGGUGUCGGAUUUCCUGUCCCCUCCCCAUGCGGGCCACCCACGCCAUCUGCCCGAGAGAGGGGAGACACUCGUCCGCCCGCAGGCCGGCAGAGCUGGCUUACCUGAUUUCUCGUCGCCCGCCCCCAGAUCUGGCUUCCCCUACUCGGCACCGCCGGGUAGGCAGGCUUCCCUGGGCCUAGAGACGAGUCUAGGAGGCAAGCGGACCCCUGGGACCCCGCCGUAAGAGCCCAAGUCCCUCACCCCGGCUGCCCCCAGCCGCGCGCACUGGAGGCGCGCCAGGCCCCCUGACCCCCUGCCAGAAUGUCAGCGUUGGGACCCGCAGAGAAGACCAAGCCCAGUCACCAGGGGGUGGGAUGCUGAGCACAGGCUCCUUGGGCCCAGCCUCGUACAGGUGGGGGGAGGAGGCAAGCCACUGCAGUUGAGUAACAGGCUUCCCACUUGCACCCCGCAAACCCGACCCUGCCCACUGAGCAUGCCCACUCCAGCUCACUUAUUGGAACUUUGAGGGCUAGACAAGUCCAAGGAAGGCUCAGAUGGGGUUCUAAUGGACCCUGCUUCUUUGAAGAUUUUUCCACAGAAGACCCCUAAAAUGUUUUUAAGGUGGCAUUGGAAAGUACCCAGGUAUAGUCUGAAAGACUCUACAAAUUAAGGCAGCCAAAUUAGUUUGAACAACAAUCUCAGAGUUGUUUUUGUUGUCUUGCUUUUUAAAUCAAAUAUUGUCAUUUAUUUAAGAUGAUUAAACAGCAGAAUUCCUACAAAUUGAACUAUAGGAAUGUGUAGAUUCAUUGAGUCCCAAACUCAGCAACUUCAGCGAGUCAACCAUUCUCUAUACAGUGGAACACUGGUUCUCAGCCUUAGACCUACAUUAAAAUUGAGGAACCAAAAAUGAACAAUACCAGAUUUCCAUCCUUACACCCAUUGGAUGAGUCUGAAGGCAAGACCUGAAAAUCCUUAUAAUUAAAAACAGUGGCUAUCAGAAGUAUAGCUUUGGGACCACUCAGCAUCAGCAUCACCUAAGAACUUGAUAGCAAUGCAAAUUCUUUUUCACUCUAGACUACCUGAUUCAUAAACUCUGGGACGGGCUUAGUAAUCAGAUUUAGCCAGAUACUCUUGCGCACUAAAGUUUGAAAACCAUUGUUUAAAAGCUACCAUAGGAGAUUAUAAUGAGCAGCCAAAGUUGAGAACGCUUGUAAUAUACCAAUGCUUUUCACAUUUGUUUUUUCAAAUCUCUAACUUUUAUCUAUUUCAGUAAAUUACUCAACAAAGAAAUAUAAUCUGGUGCCAGUCCUGGAUUUUCUUCCCACUAAUUCUCCCAGAAAAGUUCAGUGCUUGGAAAAUGGAGACUAUCUCUUAUACCACUUUUUACUAUGGUGCCUAUCAUAGUUCCUAUAGUAGAUGUUUUAAGUGUUUACUGAUUGAAAUGAAUGCUUAUGUGAAUUAUUGGUUCCAGGCCCUCCUGUGUCUGCUUUCCCCCAAGUCCUCAUCACCUUGCUAGCUACAAAGCCCACAGGGAUCUUUUCAUCAAUAACCCAUGGCCAUCUGUCAGACCUCCAUCUGACUUGGAUAUGGGAGAAGGUAGAGUAAAAAGCAUUGGACAUGAUUUUACUUGCCAAAGUAAGGGCCUGAAGAAACAACAGAAAGCAGAAGGAGGGUAAACAUCCAGUGGGAAUCCAGAAGACUACAGAAGAAAAAAGAUUUGUAUAGAGAACUGGUAAAGGAGAAGAGUCAAGGUUGUUAAUCUGAUCAGCCUGCAACUGAGAUUGAAAUUCUUUUCCAAAAUUACACAUCUCUGCUGUGCAUUUCCCGGCUCUCCAUAUACACAUCUCAUCUCAAUUAUUGCCUUGAAUAAAAUAAAUUAAAUAAGAAAUUGUUAUAUAGGAGAUAAUUUCAUUUACUGGAUAAAAACAUUGCUGGCUAGUAAUUAUCCUGAGCAUAAUUUGUUUAGAGCAUAUAGAAAUGUUAAUGUUUUAGAAAUGAAAUACUAGAUAAUUUUAAAUUGUGUAGAUUUAUAAUUCUGCUUUAAGAUCCCACAGAAACUUAUAAAAAUAGUAUUCUCUAUUUACUCC
rnacentral:lncRNA from 1 species